AUAGGAACCACCUAGGGAUCUUGUUAAAAUGCAGAUUCUAAUUUUGGUAGUUCUUGGGAGGGGCGUGAUACUCUGCAUUACUAACAAGCUCCCAGGUGAUGCUGAU
rnacentral:pre_miRNA from 1 species